UACGGAGGGUGCGAGCGUUGUCCGGAAUCACUGGGCGUAAAGAGCUCGUAGGCGGUUUGUCGCGUCUGCUGUGAAAACCCGAGGCUCAACCUCGGGCCUGCAGUGGGUACGGGCAGACUAGAGUGCGGUAGGGGAGAUUGGAAUUCCUGGUGUAGCGGUGGAAUGCGCAGAUAUCAGGAGGAACACCAAUGGCGAAGGCAGAUCUCUGGGCCGUAACUGACGCUGAGGAGCGAAAGCAUGGGGAGCGAACAGG
rnacentral:rRNA from 1 species